UACGAAGGGGCUAGCGUUGCUCGGAAUCACUGGGCGUAAAGCGCACGUAGGCGGGUCCUUAAGUCAGGGGUGAAAUCCUGGAGCUCAACUCCAGAACUGCCUUUGAUACUGAAGAUCUUGAGUUCGGGAGAGGUGAGUGGAACUGCGAGUGUAGAGGUGAAAUUCGUAGAUAUUCGCAAGAACACCAGUGGCGAAGGCGGCUCACUGGCCCGAUACUGACGCUGAGGCACGAAAGCGUGGGGAGCAAACAGG
rnacentral:rRNA from 1 species